GUGGACAGAUUGUUUGUUACUAUGUUUGAUGGUUUGAAUGAUAGGUGUCAGAAGGAAGGGAGGGCAGUAUCCCUUUGAACCUUUGAAGUACAAGCCAAAAACCCUGCGUCUUACAUUUGAAGAAGGAGUCCAAUGCUGAAGGAUGCUGGUGUGGAAGUUGAGCCUCUUGGGGGCCUUAAUACAGAAGCAAGAGAAAACUGGGCCAGCUAGUUUGGAGAA